AAUGCAAAGUGAGCUGUGUUCCUCCUCUACUUCUGUGACUGCAGAGAGGAUGACAGAGAACAGUGGACACACAGUUGAACAUGAUGGACUAUAGGACAGGACUGCUGCUUUUAACUGUCUGCUGGGCAGGUGUUGAUGCUCAGACUCUGACAGAGUCUGAACCAGUGGUUAAAAGUCCUGGACAAUCCCACAGACUGACCUGUACGGCCUCUGGGUUCACAUUCAGAGACUACCAUAUGUACUGGGUCAGACAGGCUCCUGAAGAACGACUGGAGUGUAUCACUAUGAUAUAUCAUGAUAGUAGCACCAAACACUUCUCUGAUUCAGUCAGAGGCCGGUUCACCAUCUCCCGAGACAACAGCAGAGAGCAGCUGUAUCUGCAGAUGAACAGUCUGAAGGCUGAAGACUCUGCUGUGUAUUACUGUGCCAGACAGUCACAGUGA